rnacentral:rRNA from 1 species
UUACUACAUAUAUUAUAUAUAUGCUUUCACGAAAGGGGGUGAGUUAAAUAUAAUCAAUCUUAGAUGUGCUUUGCUACGUAGUAUAGUAGCAUGAUAGUUAUAUUUUGUAGUGAUAGGCCUAACAAGCCUUCUGAUAACUUGUUGUGUGAGAGAUAUAUUAAGUAUUUAAUCAAGCUACAAAAGUUAAGCUUUGUAGUUGUCAUUAAAUGGUGAAAAUUAUUCUUGUUAUAGCCUAGUCGUUAAGUGCUUUUAUGUAAUAAUAUUAAUUAACUUUUAUUGUGUUAAUUAUCAUACAAUGCUGUAUUAUGUGGGUGUAUAAAUAAUGUAGGCAUAAGUAAUAAUAAAAAUACCUUAAAGGAACUCGGCAAAUGUACUGUUCAACUGUUUAUCAAAAACAUAACUGUGUGGUAUAAUAUAUAGCUGUUCUGCUCAAUGGAAUCUAAAUAGCCGCAGUACACUGACUGUGCAAAGGUAGCAUAAUCAGUUGGCUUUUAAUUAGAGUCUGGAAUGAACGAAAGCAUGGGUAGUAACUGUCUUACUAUCGUAGUAUAUUGAAAUUGGUAAGCAAGUGCAAAAACUUGCUUAUAUAAAAAAGACGAGAAGACCCUAGAAACUUUUAUAAGUUAUUUUGUUGGGGCGACAAGACUACAUGUGAACUAGUUUUAUAGUACAUGGCGUUAUUCAGACAGGAUAAGUUACUCUAGGGAUAACAGCAUAAUUUUUACAGUUUGUGACCUCGAUGUUGGACUAGGUAUAUAAUUUUUUAGAAGGAAAUUUGAACGCUCUGUUCGAGCAAAAAAACCUACAUGAUCUGAGUU